CCGGCGGCUGCGGGGCCCGGAGGAGGCAGAGCCGGGGGCGGCCGAACCAGCGGAGCAUCCUGGGGCGAAGCGGUCACCAAGGGUGCAUCCAGCCCACUGGCAGAGGGUCCAGCAGGUGGAGGAAAUCUUGGAGCCAACUUCCUGGACAGAAGCAAGGAAGAGGCUGACAGAGUCAACACCCAUGCUCCAUCCAGAUCAAAUAUAUCACUGCAAUGAGGAUCGGGGUCAGAUCUACAGAGACUGCACAACAUCUCAGAGAGAGACAGACUGUAUCUGGAAACCCAGUGCCAGCAGCAGCACAAGAGAGCAGAGAAGAAACAGCGGC